UGUUCUUCCAUUUCCGCACGCCGCGCGCCGGACCGCUGCACUUUAGCCGUGCUGCUGCUGCUGCCGCCGCCGCUGAGCGUUUCUCCUGCAAACCGCGCCGUUAUCGUUGGCUCACUUCAACCGAAUAAGAGGAAGGGGGGGAAAAAAGUGGAUUUGCGGUAGUUUCACCGCCGGAUUUUACAGGUUUGCUCCCAGCUCGAGGUUUUCAUAUCGCUUUGUUAACUUUAUUUACGAACUCCCCCAAAAUGGAGAACGAGAACAAGUACCUCCCGCAGCUGCUGGCGGAAAGAGACAGCCUGGACUCGUCCUUCAUACACGCCAUGAAACUUUUAUCUGCAGAAAUCGAGAGGGUUCAGAAAGACGAGCCAGAAAAAGACAGCGAAACCUACUUGGAUCUCUUCACAGCGAAGAAUAUCAAGCUGAAGGAAAGAGUUCUUAUUCCCGUCAAACAGUACCCAAAGUUUAACUUUGUUGGGAAGAUUCUCGGGCCCCAAGGGAACACCAUUAAGAGACUGCAAGAGGAGACAGGUGCAAAGAUCUCAGUGCUGGGCAAGGGAUCUAUGAGAGACAAAGCGAAGGAGGAGAGCUUGAGGAAAAGCGGCGAGCCCAAAUACGCCCACCUGUCCAUGGAACUCCAUGUGUUCAUCGAAGUGUUUGCUCCAGCGCCCGAGGCGUACAUGCGAAUGGCCCAUGCUAUGGAGGAGGUUAAGAAAUUCCUCUUCCCUGACAUGAUGGAUGAAAUUUGCCAGGAGCAGUUCAUGGAGAUGGGGUAUCUGAAUGGCAGCCAUGAACAUGCCGUCCGAGGCAGAGGAGGCCCGAUGGCCAGGGGGCGAGGAGGACCCCCACCACCCAGGGGUCGAGGCAUGGCACCGAUGCGUGGAGGUGUUCCACGUGGCGGUCCAGCCCGAGGUGGAGCGGUGAGAGGAGCUCCAGCAGGGCGUGGCGGUCCACCAGCUCAACCUGGCAGAGGCGCUGCUGCUAACAGGGCUCGUGCUCCUGCCCCUGGAGCACAGAGGAUGCCUCCUCCACCGCGCCCCCCUGCCCAGGAGUCUUAUGAAGACUAUUCCUACGACGAAAGCUACACGGAGACGGGCUACGAAUCCUACGACAACUAUUACAGUCAGCCACAGGCAGAACCAGAGUAUUAUGACUAUGGACAUGGAGAGACACAGGAAGGAUAUGAGAAUUAUGCUCAAGAUGACUGGAAUGGAACGCAGCGUGCUACUGCCAGCGGGAAAGUGCCUGCUCAGAGACAAACAAAGGGAGCGUACAGGGAACACCCGUAUGGACGAUACUGAACUCUCAGCAAGCACAACGUCAUCACCCAUAAUGUCCCAUCAUGACGACUGUCUCCCACGGCAGCUCGCUCUUUAAGCAACCUGACAAAAGGAACUGUGCCUCAUGAGAUCCAGGGAUGGAAUCCGGGUUUGCAGCUUUUUUCUCAGGGAAGACCGAUUUGCCGUAAAGAGGCGGUCUUAAAUUUCAGCCGGCAGGCUUUUUGGGCGAAGGAACUCUGAAAUCUGCAGAGACGGAGUCGAGGCGAAGUUCUGCCGGACGCCUUUCAAAAUCGGCAGAAGCCGGAGUGCUAGGAAAGUGCAUCUGUGUGCGUCUUAAAAAGGAAAGAAAAAAGGAAAUCGAUGCUCUCCUCGGCGCUGCUGCCAAAGCAUGCGGGCACUUAUUGAGCUGGAGCGGAAAGCGGCUUAUGUGUCCUACAGCGUCCAGUGGUCGUGUUUGUGUGCGUGUAUGUGGUCACAUAUUGGAAAUAUGUCUGGCUCAUUGUUGUCUUUGUGAAGCUUCCAGCCUUAUUUAUUUAUUUAGUUUUUUUGCCGAGAGACUUAUUAAGCUCUCUUUAAAGCACACAUUGUGAAAAUGAACGAUAAUGUUUUCGUCAUUGUGUUUUCUCUGCACUCAUCAUCUACCUCAUUUGAACGCACAGGUUGUCUCUUCUUUUGUUUUGUUUUUUUUUUUUUCUUUUGAGUGUAUGGGGCGGGGUUAUGAACCUGGACAACCCACCCGGUCAGAUCGUGUAAUGUGGUGUGUGUGUGUAUAUAAACCCUGUCUGAACAUUUAGUGUUCACUGAACCCACGUUGCUGCUGUACGAUACAAUUUUUUUUUUUUUACUGUAAUGUCUAAAUACAAUCAUAAAAACCAACCAGUGCGUGCACUUCAGCAGUUGUUUUGCUUGUACGAAAAUAAAUGCAGUUGUCAUUGCAAUAACCAAAUUGCAGGAAAAUUGAAGCCUAGCUGUAUUUUCUGAGACUCAUUUGCGGUGCUCCGGCACAUAUACACUUGAAACUGUGUCCUUGUGCGUGUGUGUGUAUUAUAAGGGUAGUGGGCCAUGUAUAGCAGUGGUGUUUAUCAUUUGGAAAAUACAGUGAUUAAGGUCUUGUUCUACACCAAAGAUUUCCUAAAUGGAUGAUGGCUUUUUAUCUGCCUAUAGAUGAGGUGCUUGCAUUUAUUAUUUAUUUAUUUUUUAUUUUUUUAUAGCAUAAUCACGGGGAAAUAUAGUAGGAAAAAACGAUAUUGGAGUAUUUGAAAGUCAUUUUUUGGUUGUAUUAGUGUUUUAACUGAAAUAGACCCGCAGGACUCCGUUCAGCAUCAUCAGACACCUUUUCAGUCUCUCACCAGGUUCUUAGCUGAGACAAACACCGCUAGGCUUUUGUGAAGAAUGCACUGCAGAGGUAUUGAUUGUGUGUUUAAAAAAAAAUGUUCAUUAUCGAGUAUUGUUACAGUCUUAAAUGAAAUUGUCGCACGUUGUAUUACAGAUUACAAGCACACGGCUGCUUCGGUAUGACUUGUACACGUAGGUCUUCAUCUCCACGCCGCAGUGCCAUCAGGGCCUGUUGCUCCAGCGAGCCAGAAUGAUCCCUUCGCCCUUUUGAGGAAAGAAGUGUGUUUCAAAUGCACAGCAGUGUGCACCGGCGUGACGAGCCGAGAAUUGGUCUUUGGAGCCGAAAUGCCUUACCCUGAGUCUGUGAGAGCAUUCGAGCAGAUUCUCAGCACUACAUUUUUGAGGCCAUAUUCACACCAGAUGGAAAAACCAUGCUAGCUUGCUUGAUGACUAAGCAGAGUUUUAUAGAAUUCAAGCCGCAGUUCAUACCCAAGUAAUAACCGAGAGGGCUAAAACCUGUGUGUGUGUGUCGAUCUGUUUACACUCACCAGCUGCUUGAGUAUAUAGGGACAUAUUGAAAGCUCACCAAAGCUGGAUAGUUGAAGAUUGGAAAAAGAACUUAGAGAAAUCUUUACCGUGGCAGUUUUGGGGACUUUUCUGUCACCACUGUAGCCUCAGAUUUAGGAUGUUUUCUGACGGCAGUGGAACCCACUGUGCUUUUCUGCUGAUUAUUUUCCAUCCAACUCCUUGUUUUGAUGCUUUUCUUCUCACCACAGUUGUAAAAAGUGGUUAUUAGAGCCUUCCCAUCAGCUCCAACCAGGAUGGUUGUUCUCCCCUGACCUCUCUUAUCAGCAGUGUUUCUACCCACAGAAUGAUGUGUAAAGUUUUUCCCCGUCAUCCUGUGUUAACUCGAGAUUUUAACUGGUGUGUGUGUGUGAGAGAAUCCUAGAAGAUCCGUUUCACAGCAAAUCGGAGAUUCAAGGAUGCACUUAUGAUGCGAAUAUUACCUAAACCUCUUAUUUUAUGAACUGUUCUGCUGAUUGGCGGUCCAGGUGUUUCUAUUAAAGUGGCCAGUGAGUGUGCUAUCGUUUAAGAGAAACGUCCUAAUUGUAUAUAUUUGGAGGGACAAUUUAUUUUUUGGAAAUUAUGUAUGGCUUUUAAAUCAGCCUUUCAGAAAUCCCAGGUAGUUUCAUGGUGUAGUGUUGUUCCUCAGUGAUCCCUCAAAAGUCAUACCUGUGAAGCUUUCUAUCUAUAUUUAAUGCUACAAAUUCAAAUGCAUCUCACUUUAUAAGACGGUUUUGAUACCGUGUAGCUAACACAGACUUCCAGAGCGCCUCAGGAGGGCGGUGCUCAGAGUACGGGCAGUGAUUGGAACAAAGAGUGCCGCAAGCAUAAUGUACCAUGGGGUGCUUUUUGGAGGGAAAGCCUGCAGGCAAAGCAUUGUUUGCUUAUUCUCACCAUCAAGUUUGUUUUUCUCCUGUGUAUUUUCAUUAGAGAUCAUGAUCUCUAGUAAAACAGCUUUGCAUAAGCAUCCCACUACUGUGCCUACUGAAAAACAUGAAUGGCCACUUUAAUAGGAAUGUACCAUGUGCCUGCUUAUUUUAUUUAUGUAAAAUAUUUGGUACAUUUUAUCUCGUUAUUUUUUUAUACAACUGAGCAAAUGAGGCCUUGCUCAGGGGCCCAGCAGUGGCAGCUUGAUGGACCUGGGAUUCAAGCACACGACCUUUAGCCGAUCAUGUAGUAGCAGCACGGUAUUUAAAAAUAAAUCGCCCAGUUUCAGUUCAGAAUUGGAAAGGAUGUGACCUUGGUUUAGAGACCACAUUGGGCACAGGCUCACCUGGGCUUUUUUUCUACUGCACCUGCCCUGUGAUGUUGAGAGUUGUGGUGUUGUAACCCAAACCACAUCACGGUUUGCUGAAGCUUUACUGCUCACGACGGUUACAUAGCGGUUAUCUGAUACCCUUCCUGUCACCUCGAUCCAGUCAGUCUGUUCUCGUCUCAUCUCUCCUCUCAUCAACAUGUUUCUGCCUGCAUAACUUCUGCUCACUGGAUAUUUUUCUUUUUGUUUUUCACACCAUAAAGACUUGUGUGUGUGGAAAUUCCACAAGAUCAGCAGUUUCUGCAAUCAUCAGAUCCACUCAUUUGGCUCCAUGCAAUCAGUGACCCCCCCCCCCCCACAUUCCGAUACUUGAUGUGAAGAUUAAUCAAAGGUUGCGAUGCUUAUCUGCAUGAUUUUAUGCAUUGCUGCACUCCUAUCACGUGAUUGGCUGACUGGAUAAUUGCUUGGACGAGCAGGUGUGCUGGUGUUCCUAAUAAAGUGGAAAAUAAAUGUAUGCGAAAUGAAUGACCGAUUAAUCCGACAAAAUUAAAUUUUAUUUGUUAAAAAAAGAUGAUUUUAUUCUCAGAGUCGGUGCUGGAAUAAAUGCAGGGCUAAAUCUGAGUGUUAGGGUUGGUCAUCGGAUCCCCUUAUAAAAAGUCGCCGUUUCUGUCAAUCCAGCCAAUUAAUGCUGAUGUCUGUGUCAUUGCCCUAGAGCUAGUCCUGAUUGCUGACUGCCUAACAGGCUUUUCUAUUAUUAUAUUAGACACAAGUCCUCAGUGCAGAUUUUAAUGAGCAAUACCCAGCACUCGGGCUCCAUCGAACAAUUUAGGAAGCUUGUUUGUGUGUGAGUAGGAGGUGGCCCAAUCUGCAAACGAUAUAAUGAGAAACCGUGAAAGCAGAUAAACAGAAUCUCUAUAGGGGGAAAAAAAAGCCAUUCAGUCCAUCUUUCUGCAGUUAAUGAUGACAUACAAGCCGUGAGUGAGGUGUGUGCGUGUGCGCAUACAUGACAGUGUGACCUUUUAUGGCCUCCGGCAGCAGGAGUGUGCUUAUUACACUUGUGACUCCCAUGCGCGAUCAUUUUGAGUGUUUCUGCAAUUUUACCCUCAUCAUCCUGAGGGUGAGAAACGUGGUCAUCCCAUUGUGUCCUGUGUGUGUCUUUCACACCUCUCUGAAGAAAUAAAACAAAACGCCUAAUCAAUUCAAUCUGUAAUCAGAUACCGGCUGUUAAAAUCUCAGCACCGUCCACGUCAUCGUCAAAACAACAACAAAAGUAGACCGGUUAAAGGCAAAGGACAGCGAUUUAAGAUGUUUAAAUGAUGCAAUGAAGCCAAAGAACUGAGUGAAUUAAUCAGAUGAUCAGUCCAGUGAUGAUGAUGCUGCUGCUGCUGAUGAUGCUCAUGUUUAAAUGCCACGAGUGACUUUUCCUUCAGGUGAGGAGACACUGAUGAGGAUGACGCUGAUAAUCAGUGAUGACUGAUUUCUCAUUGUGAGCUCUUUCAGUUCCCCCAUACGUAGAUUAGGAUGAAAUUUAGAACUCGGUAGUUGGAUUUUGGAGGAAUUACAAUAAAAUCUCUCACUUUAUAUGUUCCAUAAAAAUUCAGAAUUUUCAGACCUCCAUAAUAAUAAUAAUAGAAAACCCCACAAUCUGACCAUGAUUUAUGUCCAAAAAUAUACUAGACUGUAUUUAUUUUUUUUCUAGUUCUAUCGCAGUGUCAUAAUGAUGCGUAGAUCUUUGUGACCAGCUAUUAUUUUUUCCUCCACAUUUUUAAAAACAGAAAGCCUAAGCCUUGUAAAGGUCAUAUACUCCGUUUCGGUGAGUUUUCUGUGCAAAAGUGUAAAAUGAGUCAAACCGAGUUGCUGUAUGUGGAAUUUGGCUCUCACAGGCUUUUAUUCUACUUUAAUCUCCUAACCUUAUACUGCACUCUUCUCCCACUUCCUGGUAAGUACAGGAAAAAAAAAUGUUCUGGCUCUAUAAAAAUUUUUUUGGAUUUUGACACGUUUCAAAGAUUUUAUAUAUAUAUAUAUAUAAUAUAUAUUGGUCUAAAAAAAUCUAAGCACUGUUUAGAUGGGAGAUACUGGAAUGUGACUAAAUCAGUUAAGCGCUAACGAGACGCUCUGCUAGUCAUCACUCUCCUGGCUUUGGGGACUUUGGUUGAAACCUGAAACUGUCAAAAGACGGAAUAUCAGUUCGAUCUCAUUUGUCUUUAAUACACAUGGCUGCAUAAAUGUCGAUGGGUUAAAAUGGUGAUAGAACGAGGCGACUUUGUGCGGUUAAAUAAAUACCUGCUGUCACAAAGAAAUGAGCCAAUGGCUUUACGGUGUCACUGUAUUGAUUUUUGUAAUACUACCUUGCUGUAAACGAAUCUGGAAAAUAAAGGUUAUUCUGCUGUCA